rnacentral:lncRNA from 1 species
UUCCUAUGAAAUCCUAUAGUUUAUUCUGAAACCUUUUUACAUCAUGUCUACAGAUCAUGAAAACUUUUGUUAAGGAAUACUCUUUUCAAUACAUUUUGCUUCGUAUGACUUAUAUAAAAGUCCCUUCUAUAAUGUCCAUAAGACAGCCACAUAAAUGAGUUAUACCUUUACUUUUCAGAAGCUUUAGAAAGAUUUCAACUCUGAAACUAAACUAUAAAAGGUCUUAAAUAUAUACCAUAUUCUAACUAUUAAUCCUACAAUGAAAAUACUUUG